rnacentral:rRNA from 1 species
UAGGGAAUCUUCCACAAUGGACGCAAGUCUGAUGGAGCAACGCCGCGUGAGUGAAGAAGGUUUUCGGACCGUAAAGCUCUGUUGUUGGUGAAGAAGGAUAGAGGUAGUAACUGGCCUUUAUUUGACGGUAAUCAACCAGAAAGUCACGGCUAACUACGUGCCAGCAGCCGCGGUAAUACGUAGGUGGCAAGCGUUGUCCGGAUUUAUUGGGCGUAAAGCGAGCGCAGGCGGAAGAAUAAGUCUGAUGUGAAAGCCCUCGGCUUAACCAAGGAAUUGCAUCGGAAACUGUUUUCUUGAGUGCAGAAGAGGAGAGUAGAACUCCAUGUGUAGCGGUGGAAUGCGUAGAUAUAUGGAAGAAUACCAGUGGCGAAGGCGGCUCUCUGGUCUGCAACUGACGCUGAGGCUCGAAAGCAUGGGUAGCGAACAGGAUUAGAUACCCUGGUAGUCCAUGCCGUAAACGAUGAGUGCUAAGUGUUGGGAGGCUUCCGCCUCUCAGUGCUGCAGCUAACGCAUUAAGCACUCCGCCUGGGGGAGUACGACCGCAAGGUUGAA